UACGGAGGGUGCGAGCGUUAUCCGGAAUCACUGGGCGUAAAGGGCACGUAGGCGGUUUAUUAAGUCCGAUGUUAAAGACCGAGGCUCAACCUCGACACGGCGUUGGAUACUGAUAAGCUUGACUUCUGGAGAGGAAAGUAGAAUUACCAGUGUAGCGGUGAAAUGCGUAGAUACUGGUAGGAAUACCCAUUGCGAAGGCAGCUUUCUGGACAGAUAGUGACGCUGAGGUGCGAAAGUGUGGGGAGCAAACCGG
rnacentral:rRNA from 1 species